UCUUUUCAUCCUUUAUUCUCCCACUUGAUCUCCACGUGGCAGGCCUUUGGAAGCAGGGUGAAUAAUGGAUGAAUGGCACA
rnacentral:pre_miRNA from 1 species